CAACUGAUAUGACGUGCUUGCACUGAAUUGACGUUGGAUUCCCAGUGAGCGGCGGACGGGUGAGUAACACGUGGGCAACCUGCCCUGAAGCGGGGGAUAACAUCUGGAAACAGGUGCUAAUACCGCAUAACAACGAAAACCACAUGGUUUUCGUUUCAAAGAUGGUUUCGGCUAUCACUUCAGGAUGGGCCCGCGGUGCAUUAGCUAGUUGGUAAGGUAACGGCUUACCAAGGCGAUGAUGCAUAGCCGAGUUGAGAGACUGAUCGGCCACAAUGGAACUGAGACACGGUCCAUACUCCUACGGGAGGCAGCAGUAGGGAAUCUUCCACAAUGGGCGCAAGCCUGAUGGAGCAACACCGCGUGGGUGAAGAGGGGUUUCGGAUCGUAAAGCUCUGUUGUUGGAGAAGAACGUGCGUGAGAGUAACUGUUCACGCAGUGACGGUAUCCAACCAGAAAGUCACGGCUAACUACGUGCCAGCAGCCGCGGUAAUACGUAGGUGGCAAGCGUUAUCCGGAUUUAUUGGGCGUAAAGCGAGCGCAGGCGGUUGCUUAGGUCUGAUGUGAAAGCCUUCGGCUUAACCGAAGAAGUGCAUCGGAAACCGGGCGACUUGAGUGCAGAAGAGGACAGUGGAACUCCAUGUGUAGCGGUGGAAUGCGUAGAUAUAUGGAAGAACACCAGUGGCGAAGGCGGCUGUCUGGUCUGCAACUGACGCUGAGGCUCGAAAGCAUGGGUAGCGAACAGGAUUAGAUACCCUGGUAGUCCAUGCCGUANACGAUGAGUGCUAGGUGUUGG
rnacentral:rRNA from 1 species